GAAAAACUGCCGAGUGGUUAAGGCAAUGGACUGCUAAACCAUUGGGGUUUACCCGCGUGGGUUCGAACCCCAUGCUCGUCG
rfam:Schistosoma mansoni, Puerto Rico, WGS project CABG01000000 data, contig: 0142